rfam:Neurospora crassa OR74A linkage group V, whole genome shotgun sequence.
GCCCGCAUGGCUCAGUGGUAGAGCGCAUCACUAGUAAUGAUGAGGUCGUCAGUUCGAUUCUGGCUGUGGGCA